GGCUGAUUAGCUCAGUGGGUUGAGCGCGAUGCUGUUGAACAAUGACAACACCGAGGUCGCAGGUUCGAUUCCUGCUCGGUCG
rnacentral:tRNA from 1 species